CGCGUGAGUGAUGAAGGCUUCGGGUUGUAAAGCUCUUUCGGCGGGGAAGAUGAUGACGGUACCCGCAGAAGAAGCCCCGGCUAACUUCGUGCCAGCAGCCGCGGUAAUACGAAGGGGGCUAGCGUUGUUCGGAAUUACUGGGCGUAAAGGGCGCGUAGGCGGUGCUGUAAGUCAGGCGUGAAAUCCCCGGGCUCAACCUGGGAAUUGCGCAUGAUACUGCGGCGCUGGAAUGCGGGAGAGGAUGGCGGAAUUCCCAGUGUAGAGGUGAAAUUCGUAGAUAUUGGGAAGAACACCGGUGGCGAAGGCGGCCAUCUGGCCCGUGAUUGACGCUGAGGCGCGAAAGCGUGGGGAGCAAACAGGAUUAGAUACCCUGGUAGUCCCGCCGUAAACGAUGAGUGCUAACGUCGGGG
rnacentral:rRNA from 1 species